rnacentral:rRNA from 1 species
CCUACGGGAGGCAGCAGUGAGGAAUAUUGGUCAAUGGACGGAAGUCUGAACCAGCCAUGCCGCGUGCAGGAAGACGGCUCUCUGAGUUUUAAACUGCUUUUGCACAAGGGUAAACCUGAAUAUGUGUAUUUAGCUGAAAGUACUGUACGAAUAAGGAUCGGCUAACUCCGUGCCAGCAGCCGCGGUAAUACGGAGGGUCCAAGCGUUAUCAGGAUUUAUUGGGUUUAAAGGGUGCGUAGGCGGAUUGAUAAGUUAGAUGUGAAAUGACCGGGCUUAACUCGGGAACUGCCUCUAAUACUGGUGAGCUAGAGAGUAGGAGCGGUAGGCGGAAUGGAUGGUGUAGCGGUGAAAUGCUUAGAGAUCA